CAAAUCUUCCAGGGCUCCGGGUCCUGAUUUGAGGUGAGCCCGGGAGCCAAGAUGUGAAUCUCAAAGCCCGUCCCCAGCCCUCACUCUUAGACACCGCCCUGUGCUGCGAAGGGCACGUGCCACGCCAAAGUUCAGUAGCACCUAGGUAGAGGGAAGACUUUCUGGAAGAGACACACCCCUAAGCAGAAUUUUAGAAAGGAUGUAUUCUAGCCUGGCAAAGGUCAAGAGGGAAGAAAAAGGAAACGGAGCCUGUGUCCAUCUCACAAGUAGCUGGUAUUGUGUCAGAAUCUUUACCUACGCUUUUGUUUAAGCCUGAAGACGUGAGUUAGGUAUAAUGACUCCCAUUUGACAGAUGAGAAAACUGAGGCCACACCGUAAUCGAUGAUUCGAGUCAGUUUAUGGAAGGACCAACCUCCUGACACUCAUCCCCAUAUUCUGUUCAGGGCUUCACUUAGCAAGCCAGCAAGGCAGAGAGAGU
rnacentral:lncRNA from 1 species